CCUACGGGAGGCAGCAGUGGGGGAUAUUGCACAAUGGGGGAAACCCUGAUGCAGCAACGCCGCGUGUGGGAAGAAGGUUUUCGGAUUGUAAACCACUGUUCUUGGUGAAGAUAAUGACGGUAACCAAGGAGAAAGCUCCGGCUAACUACGUGCCAGCAGCCGCGGUAAUACGUAGGGAGCAAGCGUUGUCCGGAUUUACUGGGUGUAAAGGGUGCGUAGGCGGCUAGGCAAGUCAGACGUGAAAACCAUGGGCUCAACCUGUGGACUGCGUUUGAAACUGUUUAGCUUGAGUGAAGUAGAGGUAGGCGGAAUUCCCGGUGUAGCGGUGAAAUGCGUAGAGAUCGGGAGGAACACCAGUGGCGAAGGCGGCCUACUGGGCUUUAACUGACGCUGAGGCACGAAAGCAUGGGUAGCAAACAGGAUUAGAUACCCUGGUAGUCCAUGCCGUAAACGAUAUUACUAGGUGUGGGGGGUCUGACCCCCUCCGUGCCGGAGUUUAACACAAUAAGUAAUCCACCUGGGGAGUACGGCCGCAAGGUUGAAACUCAAAGGAAUUGACGGA
rnacentral:rRNA from 1 species